AGAGUUUGAUCCUGGCUCAGAAUCAACGCUGGCGGCGUGCCUAACACAUGCAAGUCGAACGAGAAAGUGGAGCAAUCCAUGAGUAAAGUGGCGCACGGGUGAGUAACACGUGACUAACCUACCCUGGAGUGGGGGAUAACUGAGGGAAACCUUAGCUAAUACCGCAUAAUACCUACGGGUCAAAGGAGCAAUUCGCUUCAGGAGGGGGUCGCGGCCGAUUAGUUAGUUGGCGGGGUAAUGGCCCACCAAGACAGUGAUCGGUAUCCGGCCUGAGAGGGCGCACGGACACACUGGAACUGAAACACGGUCCAGACUCCUACGGGAGGCAGCAGUGGGGAAUUUUGCGCAAUGGGGGAAACCCUGACGCAGCAACGCCGCGUGGAGGAUGAAGUCCUUCGGGACGUAAACUCCUUUCGAUCGGGACGAUUAUGACGGUACCGGAAGAAGAAGCCCCGGCUAACUUCGUGCCAGCAGCCGCGGUAAUACGAGGGGGGCGAGCGUUGUUCGGAAUUAUUGGGCGUAAAGGGUGCGUAGGCGGUUUUGUAAGUCUUAUGUGAAAUCUAUGGGCUCAACUCAUAGACUGCAUGAGAAACUGCAGGGCUUGAGUAUGGGAGAGGUGAGUGGAAUUCCUGGUGUAGCGGUGAAAUGCGUAGAUAUCAGGAGGAACACCUGUGGCGAAAGCGGCUCACUGGACCAUAACUGACGCUGAUGCACGAAAGCUAGGGGAGCAAACAGGAUUAGAUACCCUAGUAGUCC
rnacentral:rRNA from 1 species